rnacentral:rRNA from 1 species
UGCAGUCGUACGCACUGGCCCAACUGAUUGAUGGUGCUUGCACCUGAUUGACGAUGGAUCACCAGUGAGUGGCGGACGGGUGAGUAACACGUAGGUAACCUGCCCCGGAGCGGGGGAUAACAUUUGGAAACAGAUGCUAAUACCGCAUAACAACAAAAGCCACAUGGCUUUUGUUUGAAAGAUGGCUUUGGCUAUCACUCUGGGAUGGACCUGCGGUGCAUUAGCUAGUUGGUAAGGUAACGGCUUACCAAGGCGAUGAUGCAUAGCCGAGUUGAGAGACUGAUCGGCCACAAUGGAACUGAGACACGGUCCAUACUCCUACGGGAGGCAGCAGUAGGGAAUCUUCCACAAUGGGCGCAAGCCUGAUGGAGCAACACCGCGUGAGUGAAGAAGGGUUUCGGCUCGUAAAGCUCUGUUGUUGGAGAAGAACGUGCGUGAGAGUAACUGUUCACGCAGUGACGGUAUCCAACCAGAAAGUCACGGCUAACUACGUGCCAGCAGCCGCGGUAAUACGUAGGUGGCAAGCGUUAUCCGGAUUUAUUGGGCGUAAAGCGAGCGCAGGCGGUUGCUUAGGUCUGAUGUGAAAGCCUUCGGCUUAACCGAAGAAGUGCAUCGGAAACCGGGCGACUUGAGUGCAGAAGAGGACAGUGGAACUCCAUGUGUAGCGGUGGAAUGCGUAGAUAUAUGGAAGAACACCAGUGGCGAANGCGGCUGUCUGGUCUGCAACUGACGCUGANGCUCGAAAGCAUGGGUAGCGAACAGGAUUAGAUACCCUGGUAGUCCAUGCCGUNNCGAUGAGUGCUAGGUGUUGGAGGGUUUCCGCCCUUCAGUGCCGGAGCUAACGCAUUAAGCACUCCGCCUGGGGAGUACGACCGCAAGGUUGAAACUCAAAGGAAUUGACGGGGGCCCGCACAAGCGGUGGAGCAUGUGGUUUAAUUCGAAGCUACGCGANANNUUACCNGGUCUNNACAUCNUGCGCUAACCUUAGAGAUCA